AUGCUUAUAUAUUGUGAUGUGUGUGGGGUUGAUACCAUACAGCGAUGCAUUAGGUGGCACUAUCGGAUCGUUAAAUCCAGUUUGUUCAAUUUAGCAGCUCUUGAUGUGUUGCAGGAAAUAAAGCCUAAGCAUCCGAAAUUGGACGGUGAGAUGUUUUGUGCAGUAUCUCUAACGCAGGCUCCUCCAAGAAAACCGGCUUUGCCUGUAAUUCCUGCAGCGUGCAGUACGGAAAACAGCCACUGGAUGGAGCGUUUGAUCAAAGAGCCAGGAACACACAGUAUUUCGAGUAGCAGUAAGAGUACAGGAGGGGCUGGCAUUGAAGUAACAGAGAAGUCAAUUGGCAAUAAGCAAAUUCCAGGCCUACCAGAAUUACCAACCAGAAAAUCUUUAGGAACACCUGUAAACUCAGCCUUUGAAUCCACGCCCCCAAAAGUCAGCAAAAUUAUACCAAUUUUCAAAGGAAAGUUGAUGCAAAUGAAUGGAAAGAUCACAAAUCAAACAGAGAGGAAGAAAAAGGAAAAUGCUGAAAGGCAUUCACCAAUAAAAAGUGUGGGUAUUUCAUCUUCUAUGCUGUCUGUGCACAAAUCCAGCAUAACUCACGUUUUCAAACAUGUUCAAAAUAUGUCAGUCAAAACUCCCACUGACAGCAGUGUGCUCCAGGUAAAGAAUAUGAAGACACACACAAAACAUGGUACACCCAUAUUCCGAUGGAAAACCCAGUCUAGUGAACAAAUUUCUAACUCUGAUUUUUCUGAAAACUCAACUUCAGGUGGGAAUCCGAGUGAAGUCAAUCAUAAAAAGGCAAAUUCCCCAUUCUUUCUCAAGAAUGUUGGGCCAGUGCUUCAGAAAUCAAACACCAGCCUGUGUCUGAAUACACAUGACUCUCCUAUUUCUGGUGCAAGAAGGGGGAAAAAGUUUGCAAGUCAAAAUACUACUGAAUUUAUUGAGAAACACCACCAGUCAAAGGAAGUGCAUUUGCAGAUUUGUAAAUUAGGCAAUGAAAUGACAAAUUCCAGUUUGUCGCUGCAACAAAGAAAGAGAUCAAGUAAAGGAGCUGGGUUAAAUAUUCAUGAAUCUGUCUUCAAAGUUACAGUGUGCAUGGCCAAAAGUGAAGGGAACAAAGCAGCUUGCCACUCUAAGGACUGUACUGCUGAGACAACCAGUCAUCAUUCCAAACCUAAUUUUGAACAGAUGAUGACAGGGAACAAGUAUCUGACAUGUGAAACAUUGACCUCGAAACCAACUUUGCCAGUCAAGGAGAGCAACAUGGAAGCAUCUGUAAAGAAAGGUCCUGCCGGAAAAAGACAGAAAGAAGAAGGUUAUUCGAAGUUAAAGAGAGCCAAAAGAAGUAAAACUUCUACUUAAGGUGUUCUGGAGCAUUGAAAGAAAACUCUGGGUAUGUUUAUUACAAAUCUAAAGUAUUUUCUUUUAUUAAAAUAAUAUCACAUGUCUGUAAUAGGUCCUACACUUUUGGAUCAGCUGUCUACAAAGGAGUCACUUCACUAAAGAAAUGGCUUCUAGACCAAACUGAUGAGGCAACAGAUGCAAAGGACACUAUCAAAUAAAGCAUUUGUUUUGCGAAACAAGCCAUGUUUUAAAAAAGGCAUUUUGUACUUACUAGAACUUAGAGUUUGACAUAAAUUUUUACUUUGAUGCCUCUUUUUUUUCAGACUAAAAUAAGCCUGAUUUUUGGGCUUCAAGGUUUCUCUUGAAUCUGAGCUGAAAUUAAAACCAAAAUCCAUCAAAGUGGAGCUGUGUAUGUUAUUUGAUGUUAUUACAAGAGAUGUGGCUAAAUGCUCUUGUGUUGAGAUCUAAUCACAGGACAAAAUUGUCAUGAAAAUCUGGCAUGAAAACUGAAUACAUGUAGUUUUGUGACAAGAUAUUUCAACCCACAUUGUGGGUGGUUGUCGAUAAUAGUCUUGCAGGAUAAAACAAGCUUGUCCUUUGAACAUUCUUUUGAAUAUCAAGAAUACAGCAUUAGGAUAUAGUAUGUGCAUUUUGUCUCAGAGAUGCACUUUAUGUCCUUCCUUUGCUUAUGGGAUAUAUUUCCUCCAGUGAACAAAUAUAUCAAUUUUCUGCUUUUCCUAAAGAAAGUUUCGGAUAUGGAUGGAAGCUUUCUAUCUCUGGCCUUCACACUUUAGUAUUCAGUAUAUUCUGUCCCUAAGUUUAGCAUUUCAUCUCUCCUGCUUCAAGCCCGGCAGUUCAGGCAUGGUUCUUCUUCAGAGGUGAUCUGUUCUAGUGAUCAGCACAGAUAUCCACAGGUGCAAAGUCUGUGGCUUUCACUGAGGACUGAUGAGCAGAAGUGGUGUCUUUGCGAAUGGUCAGAACUUUACUUUUUUUUACUCUGAUUUUUUUCUUAUUUAUGAGUUAAAUGCCACACCAUCAAGUUGAUCAUGGUAGACAAGACUUAAACCCCAGAGAGAAGACAGUGUCUUCCAUACGGUGUUUAAAAUAUGAUGUCCAGGAAUCCCACUGCUAAGGGUCCUUCAUUGGUGUUGAUGAUUUAAAAAGAAAACUGGAGCAAAAACAACUUCUGCUGUUGGAUUCUUGCCUACAGUUUUGAUUCUGAAAAGCUGGGCUCUAAAUUCCUUUAUUAUGUAUUACUACACAUGCAUUCAGAGUGCAUAUUUUCAUUUGAACACUUGGGAAUCACUUGUGAUUUUUCAAAUUUACUGGGUUGCAAGAUUUAUGUGUGAGAAGUCCUUAUACUGGAAUUUAGUGAUGUAGUUAGCAGGAAGGACUUUGUUCUAUAAUUCAUGACAAAAAAAAAACCCACCAAAACAUUUUUUACAAUUAUUUUGAAAAAAGGGUUAGUUUUUAUGACUUAUGUACCAAAUUGCAUGGCCUCUUGACUUGCCCAGGAAAUCACAGCAUAAUCCUAAUAUUUUCUUCAUUUCAUUGGAGUGUGUUAAUAAAGUAACGUGAGAGAAGUAUUUAACAUUUUAAGAAGCUGAACAUUUGAGUCUAACACUGAGAGUCUCCAUGCUUAGUUCUUUAUUAAUGGAACUCACUCUAUCAUUUUCAAGGUCAAAAACUACUGUGAAAGGGAAAUUUGUUUUCUAAGACAUAUCAGAAGAGCAGAGCUUCCAAAAGACAGCAUACACCACUGUAGAAAGAUGCUUUGAAAGAAGUAUUUACAGCAUUGCAAAUAUUGGUGGAAGACUGACAUAUUAAAAAUGGCAGCCCAGAAGCUUCCAAGAUUUGCCACUGAUCUGCAAAACUCUUGCUGUUGUUCUGUUCCUGUGUUAUAGUGAGAUGCUGACCUUUGGUUUCACUUGCCAAAUUUCAUUUAGCAAAUGAGAAGAUACAAAUUCAUCAGAGACGAUAACAAUAGCAAGGUUUCACCUGAAAGUAUUUGCUGCUAUUACUGUAAGGAUAUUGUGUGAAUAUAAGAGUAAGGUAGGAGGUCCACACAAUUGGAAUUAUAUAAAAAAUUCUCAGCAGUUUUGGGCUGAGAUCUAUUGGACUUCCUUCUAAAAGGUGCAUACCUCACACCAACAUUGAGGAAUUUAUCUUAUAAUUUGAAGGCUAUUUUACAGAAGUUUCAACAAAGCCCUUUCAAAUUAUUUCUUCAUGUUAAAUAGUAGGCUAAAAUAAUAUCUUUUUUAUGCAGUGAAAAAAUUUUAUUUCAUUAAAAGAAAAGAUUCUGAUAAUGUUCAAUCUUUCAACGAAAAAGCAAUUUCUUUUAUGAUGGGGGAAGAUAUCCUAAUCAAAUCUAGUAGCAGAAAUAACCUUUGGACUGUGUACAUGAGUAGGUUGUUGGUACCUAAGUAAUUAAGACAUACCCCAAAAAAGAGUUGCUAUUGUAAUAUUUUUUCUGUUAUCCUAUCCAUUUUCUGUAACUAUGGGGGAUUGUUUCAGGCUAGGACUUAACUUACUGCACAGUUGACCAUUUAUAAAUAAUAAAGAAUGGUAUCUUAAGAUUCCACCUCUUACUUUCCUGUAGAGUUAAGAAUGUGGUUUGGCUGCCUGACCUCAGCCAAAUGUUAAGAAGGUGUGAAUAGACUUCUGCAAUAGAAGUUCCUUCUUCCAACACCACAACUGACUUUUGAGGGCUUUAAAUUUAAAAAGCACAGAUUAUAAAAGGAUAAAUCUGUGCAUAAUACAACAUAUUUAUGAUGGAGAGAAUUCUUCCUUGUUCAGUAUAAAAAUGUAGACAUUUAAUUUGAAUACCCUGAACCCAAAAUUUGUAAAUAGAAUGCAAAUACACAUGUGGGAAUACAGCAAUAUUUUUUCCUUCAUAUUAGCCAUAGAGUUCCCAGUUGUCUUUUGUUUUCUUCUAUGAUGUAAUUUUUUUCUAUGUUUUCCUCCAGGUUCCCAAGAGGGCAGUAACAUACUUAAGAAUCUCUGAACUUUGUGUAUUUUGCUGUUUGUCAUUGGUAGCUGUUUCUGGAUGAAAAUUUGAGGGUUAAAUACAGUCAAGUGAAUCCAUGUAUCAUCAAUUUCUUCAUACAGUUCAGGUUAAUAAGCCUCUAAUGCAUUUGAAAAUUUAACUAAAUUGUUUAGUUUUUUAAUCACAUUAUGUAUGUCCUGCUAUUGCUUACACACUUAACCAUUCUUCCAAAUUAUCUUGCUGCUUCUAGUUGGGUUUUUAAAGAUAAAAUAUUUAAUUCUUUGUUACAGUGUCUGGGUCAGUUUGAUUCACCUGUAAAAAAUUUCCAAAUAAGUUUUCCUUGUCAAGUCAAAUGAUUGGACUAUAAACAAUUUUAUUCCUACAUGAAUAAUUUAUAGGCUGGACUUGACUCAAGCUUUAUUAGUUCUUGUUGUAACUUUUCAUGACUUUUCAGAUAUGAAACCGCUCUGUAAAAGAUUUUUUUAAGUUUAAUUGGCAACCCCAUUCUUCAGGAGUUCAUAGACAACCUGUAGUUGCUCUUCGAGUAAUUUUGUUGCCCUAAGUGUGACUUCAUUGACCUACUUCAACAUGCAGAUACAAAAAUAUACACAUUUAUAAGAUUGUUGCCUCCUAAUCACUGCUUUGAAGUGAAUAUUAUUGUGUUAUGUGGAAAAUAAGAAUCAAAUGUCACACUAGCUCUUAAAUUCAAACAUUAUGGAAUGGUGGUUUAACACUUGUUUUGGACAUACAUUUUCAAAUCUUUUUUUCUAAAGGGAUCAAUUCAAUGGGACUUUAUGCCCUUCAUGAAACUUUUUUGUUUUUUUUUUUUAAGGUUUAUAUUGCAGUAGCUGUAUUUCUAUUCACUUAUUUUUCCAAACUGGAUUUUGUCCUGCUACUAUAACAACUUUUGUUUUGUUUGGUUUGGUUUAGUUUAGUUUUGUUUUUUCUUGAAUGGUUACUGUCAACAUAGCUCUAAUUUCAGGGUGCCAAUCUUUAAAAGAGGGUUCUUCAGCAUGACAUUUUGUCAUACAUAACUUUAAAAACAACAACAACAACAAACCAACAAGCGAAGACAAAUAAUAAAAGAAGUUAAUGCAAUAUGACCAGCAAGAAGUCAAAUUAUAGUUGCAUAUUGUCUGGAAGCUGGUAUACAAGGCUACUUUUCAAAUGCUGUGGUUUAGUUACCUUUCAUAGGUUUCAAUGUAUGCGACUGAUCUUUCUCCUCUCUUACAUGAAAAAGCCUGUAGAGUAGAAAUUAGCAAAGCUAUGUAAAUUAGUGCUUUGCCCGAUCUGUUUCGUAUUGCUGCUUUUAAAAUACUGCUGGUUGCCAGCAUUUGUCUUGUGUUAUCACAGAAGUAAUUUUGCACUAUUUAUGUGUUUUUGAAUGUUUACAUCAUUUUGUGUUAUUUGUUCUAAAACUUAAAAUAAAGAAAAACUUAUUUAUCUCAGCUCUAAUGUGUUCCAUUUAAAUAAACUACUGAGUUACUCAUAUGUGCUAAAUUGCCAGCUACUUCCUGGUCUAAAUCCUGUUACUCCAUCCCACCCACCCACUUCUUGUAAAUGCAUGGGAAGGUGUUGAUAGUGAGCAGAACCGUGCUGGGUGCAACAGU
ensembl:lncRNA